rnacentral:tRNA from 1 species
GGCAAGAUGGCCGAGCGGUCUAAGGCGGUGGACUCAAGUUCCACUCUCGAAAGGGGCGUGGGUUCGAAUCCCACUCUUGUCA